rnacentral:rRNA from 1 species
CCGGCGCACGGGUGCGUAACGCGUAUGCAACCUACCUUAUACUGGGGUAUAGCCCGGAGAAAUUCGGAUUAAUCCCCCAUAGUACUGUUUGAUCGCAUGGUCAGACAGUUAAAGCAUUGCGGUAUAAGAUGGGCAUGCGUCCUAUUAGCUAGAUGGUGAGGUAACGGCUCACCAUGGCUACGAUAGGUAGGGGGCCUGAGAGGGUGGUCCCCCACACUGGUACUGAGACACGGACCAGACUCCUACGGGAGGCAGCAGUGAGGAAUAUUGGUCAAUGGGCGCAAGCCUGAACCAGCCAUGCCGCGUGCAGGAAGAAUGCCCUAUGGGUUGUAAACUGCUUUUAUUUGGGAAUAAACCUCUUUACGUGUAGAGAGCUGAAGGUACCAAAUGAAUAAGCACCGGCUAACUCCGUGCCAGCAGCCGCGGUAAUACGGAGGGUGCAAGCGUUAUCCGGAAUCAUUGGGUUUAAAGGGUCCGCAGGCGGAUUUAUAAGUCAGUGGUGAAAACCUAUCGCUUAACGAUAGAACUGCCAUUGAUACUGUAAGUCUUGAAUUCGGUCGGAGUGGGCGGAAUGUGUAGUGUAGCGGUGAAAUGCAUAGAUAUUACACAGAACACCGAUAGCGAAGGCAGCUCACUAGGCCUGAAUUGACGCUCAGGGACGAAAGCGUGGGGAUCAAACAGGAUUAGAUACCCUGGUAGUCCACGCUGUAAACGAUGAUUACUCGUUUUCGGCGAUAUACAGUCGGAGACUAAGCGAAAGUGAUAAGUAAUCCACCUGAGGAGUACGAUCGCAAGGUUGA